rnacentral:rRNA from 1 species
CCUACGGGUGGCUGCAGUAGGGAAUAUUGCUCAAUGGGGGAAACCCUGAAGCAGCAACGCCGCGUGGAGGAUGAAGGUUUUCGGAUUGUAAACCCCUUUUGUUAGAGAAGAUAAUGACGGUAUGUAACGAAUAAGCACCGGCUAACUACGUGCCAGCAGCCGCGGUAAUACGGAGGGGGCAAACGUUACUCGGACUCACUGGGCGUAAAGAGGGCGUAGGCGGGAUAGCAAGUCAGAUGUGAAAUCGUAUGGCUUAACCAUAGAACUGCAUUUGAAACUGUUAUUCUAGAGUAUUGGAGAGGUAGGUGGAAUUCUUGGUGUAGGGGUGAAAUGCUUAGAGAUCAAGAGGAAUACUCAUUGCGAAGGCGACCUGCUAGAACAUAACUGACGCUGAUGCGCGAAAGCGUGGGGAGCAAACAGGAUUAGAUACCCCAGUAGUC